CACUGAUAGCCGGAAGAAGGGGAGACUACGAUCGGUGAACAAGGGGAAGGUUCGAAUCUACAAGGAGUACUCAUCCGCAGCGCACGUUCAACGUCAAAUCAUUAGGCCCGGAAACCCACUAUGGAAGACGGAGAUAGCGGUUUUGCGUCGGCACUACCUCGAGGCUAUAGUUUCACUUAGGUACAUAACACCCCAAAGUCCCCGUUGUUUACCCGGUGGUAGGGGCUGGUGGGUAUGCGCGGCUAUCAUUAGCUCAACGGUUUUCGCAACACACCAAGCCAAAGUCGCAUAGUGGAUCACAGACUAAGAAGGCUAAAUCUGAACCUGUCGCCCUAAAAGACAUGACCUCAACAGAAUGGGGUCAUGGUUGAACCAGUCGAAGUUGGGGAAGCUCAGAUCAAAGGAGCCAUCCGAUCACCAUAUUCGUGUAUCCAGAGAACCCCGAGCAACCAAUAGUACAAGAUCGAACGACCAGGUCGACCUCUUAUACUCGAAUUGUAACCCUAGUCUAGGAAGACCGCCUAAAUUGGAUCUAUGUUUCGCUGGUAGUCCAUAAGUGCUUCUCAGUAUUUUCUUUUCUUUCUCCCUCAUUUUUU
rnacentral:lncRNA from 1 species